AUGACCCUCCUACUUGAAAUAUAUAUAAAAAAAAAACAAAUAGAGUACAAGUUAUUAUUAUUAGUAAUGAAAAAAGACCCAGAAAAGGAGAAUGAAUCAUCUCUUCUAUCAAAUCAUUCACCCCCAACAUCUAAAUUACCCACCCUGCCAAACAUCUUGAGUGCUAUACAAGCCAACAUCAUUCUUCUUUUUUCUAUUCCAUUGCAUACUAAAUUAUUAAAACAACCAAUAAAUAAAUAA